rnacentral:lncRNA from 1 species
CCCAAGUUUCUCUCCAAGGAGCCAAGCCCUCCUUGAUAGCUCACCCAACUCUCUCUCUAAAAGCUUAAAGGGGAAAACUAAGAAGAGGUAGUGCCCAAAUGCCUUGAAGGUGGAGUGUUGAUUGUGAAUGUGAUGAGAUGAAUGGAGCCUCCCUCUCCCUCUUCUUAAAUAGGUGGGGAAGGUCGGUUCCCCAGGGUGUAAACUGCAAUUUGCACACGGGGACUGUGGGAGGAUAGGCUCAGCACCGCCUCUGCGAAAGGUGGUGCCGAGAUGGGCUGGGCUAGGGUCGGCCGACCCUAGGGUGCGGCCGCCCCCUGGUGGGCCCCGCUGGCCCCGGCCCGAAGCCCGUUGCCUUCCUCUCGGGCCCCUGAGUCCAGAUCCACCUGCAAAUUGAUGCACUUCUAUAUUGGGCUUUUGGGUACUUGUUUAUUUGUGCAUUUUUUGACGUGUCGGAUUGCGCCUUUUUAUUUGCUUUCCACCUGUAUGCCUGUAUAUGAUCUGCAAAACACAACUUGCACUACAUGUGGAACUUGGUAAGCAUUUAAUAAGUAUAUGUGAGUAAAAUACAUGCUUUUUUUCCUUUGCAUGGACUAUGUUGGCGGGGUAAAUAUGUCAUUAAGAACCGCCAACAAACUCCCCCAAGCUUACCCCUUGCUCGUCCUCGAGCAAGAAGCUAAGAUCUUAGUUGUUGAUCAGGAGUUGAUACAAUAUUUUCACUUCUAUCCAGUACAUACCUUCAAACAAGAAUUUUCCUUUGAAUUUUGAACAGAUAUGUCUUGGGGCUUAUUGCUCAUACUUUGGGUCCUUAAGCAUUUGUAGGAUGGAUUGGAUCAGAUCGAGUGCUAUAUCCCUAGUUCUUUACUUCACCUUUGUUCCGGAGUUUUUGAUUUUCAAAACUUAGCACAUUUAUUUGUCAAAUUAAACAAUGGAUCCAAAGAGAAAGUUAAUCAUACCAUUGAAUUUUUGAAAACUUUUUCUUUUCCAUCAUUCUCUUUUUGUCUAUUAGAGACACAUGGCUAUGUGGCUAAUUCUACUGUUGGGCACUUGCCCAUUUUUUUUUCGGGGUUCCGGACACAUGUCCCUUUUUAUUUCCUCGUGUUCUUUCUUUUUGAGGUUUUGGACACAUGUCCCUUUUUAUUUCCUCAGAUGCUUUUUUUUUCUUUUUCAUAGCCAUAUGCCUUCUAACAAACUUUUGAGAUGAUAACAUAAUGAAAUAUUUUUGUUUUCAAUGGUAUGACAACCUCUCAAAGGGUCAACAAAGCUUAAUCUAACUCAAUGUGAUUAUUUUAUUUUUGUAAAAACUCCAGAACUAUAGUGUUGUUUAGAACAGGAUACUAGCAGCUCAGAUCAUCACAAAUAUAUCCAUUAAUUACUUUAGACUUUAGAUAGAGCAUUUUGCAACCCACGCAUUUAAUCAUUUUAUUAAUUUGGAGAAUUCAAGGUUGAAACUAGAUAGUGGAAAGUAAUUACGAUAGAGCAACUAUUCAUCAUUUCAACAAGGAAGAAGCAUAUAUCUUACAUCACAUAUAAGAGUGGAAUUAUAUUUUUGUAUUUUUAGCAUUUUUCAUUUUUUUAUAUGCAAUAAUUAAAACAUGAAUUUAACUAAUGGAAAUUUCAUAAAGUAAACAUGCUAAUUUAAAAUUAAGGAUGCAUGAAAAUAAAUAUGCAAUGCAGAUAACCUCAGGAUUGGGGGUCCUCCCCCAAGCUAGCUUCUGGCCUACUAAUCAGGGUUGUACCCCAUGUACCGCCAGAAGUCUUGGGACUGUUUCAGCAGCUGAUCUUGGUGAGCUUGCAUUUCUUCUUGCUGCUGCUGGUGCCAGGCCUGUUGUUGCCGUUGCCAUAGCAACCCUUGCUGGUGCCACUCCACGGCCUGCUGGUGGUGCGCAUCGGUGGUUUGGAUGUGUUGUUGGAGAGUAUCCUGGAUCUCAUCCGUGCGCACCACCAGUCCCCCAAGCUGAGCUUGGAGGUGCUCCAAGUCGGUUCGGCCUACUGUGGAGGCCGAAGGAUGUUCUUCUGGUGAUUCGGCCCUCCAGCGCGAUUGUUGUUCCCAAGCGCUGGAAUCCGCCUCAGCCCACCCCUCAACACCUUGUGUCGGCAUGGGUGUGUCCCACCCUGACUCGUAGAUCGGCUGUGUACAGGAGGGUGGUGGCUGGGAGCUGGAUCCGCCGAUGUCCCUGCCAGAAACACUACGCCUUCGCGCAGUUUCAGUUGUCUGCACAUCAAAGGUUAGUCUCCCAGAGUUAUACAAGCGUAGACCCGAGUUAGGUAACCAGAUUACGUUUGUAUACCCUGGGAAAUAAAACACAAGACCGCCCGCAUUAUCUCUUUUCAAAUGGUGACCUUGGAUAAGAUAGGUUUCAUUAAUCAUUGUGCGUGAAAUUUGAAUAUAAUCAAGAUCUUGCCCUUCCAACGCACCAAUGGCCAUGGCCACACGUGUUAUGAGUGAAGUCAAAGAGAUAGGGGUGGUUGUCUUGAUUAUAUCUAACCAAUGCCUUACAAUUUCUUGCACAGGUGCAACUUUUAUUUUCAUUCUAGCCGCGUAAAGUAACCUCAUUUCAUUUACUCGCACAAUGCGGGUAUCCUGGCUAGGAAACAUUGUUAUGGAUAGCCAAAGGUGUAAAAACCUUAGAGUGGGGUGUUGCAUGUGGGCAUUUCUAGGAUAGUAUUUUUGAGUGUGAACUUGCCCCCUGAUUUCUUCCCAAAACUUAUCCUUAUUAAACCCUUUUGUGGCAUGCACUAAAUCAAGAGAGCAUCUUUGACGAAAACCAAGGUAUUUGCUUAAGUCUUUCCAUAAGAUAGCAUAUUCAUUUCCAAAUAAAUGAACAGAAAUACCUUCAUAUGUUUCUCUUAAAGUGCAUAGGUAUUGAAUGGUAAGGGUAUAGGAUCCAUACUCAGUUAUGGGGUGAAUGUUGUCCCACCCGGCGGCUUUCCAUAUGGAGAGGAAUUCAGAGUCCAUACCGAUGUCGGAGAGGAGCGAGUCGUCGUAGACCGGCGUAUGGAGGAAUAUCCGGUCCUUGAGCAUGUUGUAGGCUUGAUGUUCUCGAUCACCCACCAAGUCGAAUUGGUGGGCUCCUCCUUCAUGUUGUUCCUCCUCUUGUCCCUCUUCUUCUUCCACUACCUCUUCCUCUACCUCCUCGAUCUCUGGGGAUUCUUCCUCAGCAGAAGGACUCCAUCGGGGAUCGGUGUAGUAUGAGGAAGUGUUCCGAUAGGGGCACUUCGAGGAUGACCUCGUGACUCUUUUAAACGCCCUGAAACUGUUUUGCCAAACCUUUUCAUGGUGCAAUGCUUGCACAAGUGGAUAGCUAGCUUGGAUAGGCGAUUUUUUUGUGAGGUGUGAAAGUGUUGCUUGGAGAGUGAAGAUGGAAGUGAUGAAGUGAAGUGAGAAUGGGUGGAGAGGGCCACACCCGAACCCCUGGUAUUUGUAGUUUGAAAAUGCAGGUGGAUUCGGGGUGAGGGCAACGGCUAGGAGCCUCCCCCAGCAGGCCGUUGGCUAGAGCCGUUGGGGGGCGGCCGCCCCCUGGUGGGCCCCGCUGCUCCCCAGCUUUUGUCUCCAUCUUCCAACGGCUAGUUUUUGAAGUUUUCCGUUGGCAUAUUGAUGUUGAUGCACUUCUAGCUGAAAAAAUGACUUUUGCAAUUUCCAACAUUUAUUUGUAAAAUUUUUAUUUUCAAAAAAUUUAGAAAAAAUAUUUUUCUAUUAUUUUAUUUUAUUUCCUAGCUGAAAAUGAAUUUUUGAAUAUUUUUCAAUUUUUUUAUAUAUAUAUUUUUUAAGAUAACUACCUAUUACCUUCGGCGAAGGCUCAAAAAAAUGUUUAUAGUCCUUUUUGAGAAGGACUCUCUUCCGUCGUUUGAAUUUCACCCUGCAUGGUUAGUGGGAGAGUUCUCGGGUUGCCCCGGGAGUCCACCCGCAUUCUCAGUAGGAAUUGCAGCGGCGAUCUGAGCUAGUUGUGUUUCUAUCAUUUUAUUAAAGCUCAGUUGGUUUUGUACGGAAGAGGCAAGGUUUUCUAUUUUUGUAUUUAUGUUUUCUAAAACCUUAUCAUUGGACAGCAACUUUUUAGUUAAGUUUUCAUUUAUUUUAGCUUGUCCAAGAACUAGGUCUUUUAAUGAAGGUUGAUUCGAAUUAAAACUCGAAUUACCUUGGAAUGAAGAGCGUGACUAAUUAUUCCAACCAUUACCUUGGUUGGCGCCUCCUUGUUGGCGGAACCCGUUGUUGAUGUAGGCAGCGUCUUCACGAGUUUCGGGGCAAUCAUUCCCCGAAUGGCCAACUUCUCCACAGACCUCGCACGUCAUGUGUGAGUCUAUGGCCUUCACCGAGUUCGAGGGGUUCUCUUGGUUCCUCUCGGUGAGUUGCUUCAUCAAUAAAUCUAUUUUUGCGGCAAGCAUAUCCGUCUCCUUCACGGUAUGCAUGCCUUUUUGUGUUUUGGCAGCUGGUGGUUGAGUUCUGUCCUCCCCCCAGCUCUGGUGUUCUACAAUCUUCUCGAUUAGGGCCUUGGCCCCGGCGGUGGUAAGUGAUAGGAACGCGCCUCCAGCGGCGGCGUCUAGGUGUCCCUUCGACAUGGGCGUCAGCCCAUUGUAGAAGUUCUGGAGCACCAUCCAGUUCUCCAUGUCAUGAUGGGGGUAGCUUAGGAUGUACUCUUGUAGCCGCUCCCAUGCUUCAGGGAUUGUUUUGCUGGGAUUUUGUUGAAAACUAGCAAUCCUUCCCCUCAAAGCAUUGGUUUUGCUUAUGGGGAAGAACUUGGCGAGGAAUGCCGCGGAGCAUUUUGCCCACGUGGUGACAGCUUCCUUAUCUUGAUAGAACCACCUCUUCGCCUUCCCCACGAGGGAGAAAGGAAAGAGGCGGAGCCGAAUGAAAUCAGGAGUGAUGUCCUUGAUGACAAUCGUGUCACAUAGCUCCAGGAAGUGUUGAAGGUGUGCAUUCGCAUCCUCGCUUGGCAAGCCACACAAUGGGCUCGCCUGCACCAUGGUGAUCAGGCCGGUGCAUAGCUCGAAGUUCUUGCCGGCCGUGUCAACAGCGGGGCCAGUGGCCACGUUGGUGACAGCGGGCACGGAGAACUCGCGGAGUGUCUUCACGGCGGCUAGGAGUUCGUUCGGGGUAGGUGUGGUACCGGCUGGUUCACUUGUCGAUGGAGUAGCAGAAGACGAAACGGUUCGAGACUACCUAGUCCUUAGGAGUGCCUCGGGAUCGGAGAUGUAGUUUUCCGGCAAAGAGAAACCAGGCAUACACUAUUCCUCCUGUUUCAUCCACAACAGGGAGAAAACAGGCAGAGUUAGCCUGCAUAACAAUUGACUCAUUACGCACAUCAGAUUACUUGAUUAUAUUUAUCUAGAAUCAUUUUCAUAUUAGCCAUCCCCGGCGACGGUGCCAGAAAUGCUUGUUGGCAUUUCUUAACAUCAUCACUAAGAACAGGGUUUAAUCCGUCCUCACCAACGAUGUCAGAAAUGUCGUGAUAACACUUACUAAUGCAAUCACCAAGAUUAGAGUAUAAAUCUAUCCUAAGCAACGGUGCUAGAAAUGCUUGUUAGCGUUUCUUAGCGUCGCUACCUAGAAUAGGGUUCUGCUCUACUCAUGAUAAUGACAUUGGCAGUGUUAUAUUGGCAGAUCCGUAGCAUCACUACCUUGAAUAGGAAGCUAGAUCUACCUUCCCGAUAACGGCGCCUUAUUACCGUUAGGGUAGGGUCCUAGUUCUUAAUCAUGGUAGUGGCACUAGGAUUGCCAUGUUGGUAUUCCUUAACAAGUCACUAGCUCGGCGCAUGUCUAGCAACAGUGUUAAGUAUAUACCGAGGUGAUAGUUCCUUAGGUUUGGAGUUUAAGUACCGCAAGCAGACGGGAAUUAUCGUGUAGCAUUUCAACCCGGGUAUUUACCGAGUGUCGUAUUUAUAGAUUCGCUCUAAGGAAGGCUUAAUAUGUUAAGGAUUCUAAGAUAAGCAUAGAUCAAAGUAAUUAUGAUAGAAAAAAUGGAAUCAAAGGUCAUAGCAGGUGAUAAACAUUUAUAUGUAGAAUAGUGAUCCAUCACAAUCUAGGCAUGGCAUAUGGGCUAAGGAAUAAAAAGAGACUAAAAGAAUGAAUUGAAUCAAAGAAUAAACAAACAACCUAUUGGAGCAGGUGUGGUCCUAGAUACAGAUCAUGUCAUAGAACAAGUUAAUCAUGUAAUUAUACUACUUAGAUCUAGUCCUGUGUUUAGAUGGUUUGGGAGGUUACGCGAGUACUGGUCUGCCAGCAACCUCUGCAACUAUUUAGACUCCUACACCCUAGCCGAACGUGGGGGAAUGCCAAGGACGGACAGGGCUGUCACCACGUGCCGCCAUCCCCUCAACCGUGGACUAGGACAAUGCAUUUACCCGGCCUUUAAACCCAAGCACCAUGCUUACAUGCAAAGAACCUACUCGGACUCCUCCGGGUCCCCGACCCUACGGAUCGACAGGUAAGAAGCCCGAGCCUACUCAAAAGAGCAUGAUAAACCCCCAUCUUCACACAAAGCUAUUUCUAGGCAAUUAAUUAACAUGAAGCAAUUAGACUAAAGUCCUAAGUGAGAAUAAUACAACAUACACUUAGCACUAGUUCAUAUAAUACACUACUAGCCCUAGGGUAGCAUUAUACUAUAAGAACUAUAUACUAAAAUGUAUGUCAUAUCAUUUCUACUAGAACUAUAUUCUAGUUCAUAUGCUAGCAUCAUAAAACAUGGCCUAUGAUCUAUAUCAUAUACCAUAGCAUAAGAACUAUACUCUAGUUCAUAUGAAGAACUAUAUCGGACAUGAUAAGGCAUAGACUUGGAGUAAAGAUAUUCUUUAUUCAUACCCAAGUUUCUCUCCAUGGAGCCAAGCCCUCCUUGAUAGCUCACCCAACUCACUCUCUAAAAGCUUAAAGGGAAAAACUAAGAAGAGGUAGUGCCCAAAUGCCUUGAAGGUGGAGUGUUGAUAGUGAAUGUGAUGAGAUGAAUGGAGCCUCCCUCUCUCUCUCCUUAAAUAGGUGGGGAAGGUCGGUUCCCCAGGGUGUAAACUGCAAUUUGCACGCGGGCACUACGGGAGGAUAGGCUCAGCACCGCCUCUGCGAAAGGUGCUGCCGAGAUCGGCUGGGCCAGGGUCGGCCGACCCUCGGGGGCGGCCGCCCCUGUUGGGCCCCGCUGGCCCUGGCCCGAAGCUCGUUGCCUUCCUCUCGGGCCCCUGAGUCCAGAUCCACCUACAAAUUGACGCACUUCUAUAUUGGGCUUUUGGGUACUUUUUUAUUUGCACAUUUUUUGACGUGUCGGAUUGCGCCUUUUUAUUUGCUUUCCACCUGUAUGCCUGUAUAUGAUCUGCAAAACACAACUUGCACUACAUGUGGAACUUGGUAAGCAUUUAAUAAGUAUAUGUGAGUAAAAUACAUGCUUUUCUUCCUUUGCAUGGACUAGGUUGGCGGGG